GGCCCCGUAGCUCAAUUUGGUAGAGCAGUUGACUCUUAAUCACUCGCCUUCACGUCAAUCUCUGGGGGUCA
rnacentral:tRNA from 1 species